AAUAAAACUAUUGCUCUUAAAAUCACUAUGGCUUUAAAUGAAUUAUUUGAUCUUAAAGCAGCAAUGACCUUUCACCCUCAUGAUGACUUUAAAUAUCAAAAUAACAACUAUGAUUGUGGCCCUUUCAUCUGUGCAUAUGCCAUGGUGAUUAGUGGCGAAUGGCAAAGUUUUCCUGAAAGCUUUGACGAGAUAAUCCGAAAAGAGGUCCACCAAUUCAAACUUUUCCCACAACAAAAAGAUCCCAAAAUAUCGGGGGGUGGCCUACCAAAGUUCAUGGAGAUAAUUAAGCCAAAUGGAGUAAACAAAAUAAGCAAUGUGAGUCUAGCCUUUCUUUUAAAACAGAACUCAUGUAUCUCGUCCUUGUUAAGUGAAUGGUUUAAAAAUAAGAGUAAUACAACUGUUCUUUCACCUGAAUUGACAUUGAAAAUAAUUCCACAGAACAAUACAUUUAUUAGAGAAAAUGUAACGUUUAAACAAUUUUCUGGAAUAGAUCAUGUCAUCAGCGUCAUUCCAAAUGACACGAAUUGGUGUCUUUAUCUUUUCUCACUGGUUUCAGGAAUCAGUUAUAAAUUCAAUUUUAAAAACAAAAUUGUAACUGAAAGACUAAUUGGUAUUGGAGAAAACAUGACUGACUACCUGAACAAAUUUUUCAUUUCUGACAGACAGAUCAUCUUCAAUAGAGACCACAACAUCAAUCACAUUUCUGUGACACUGGGCGAUUCACAUCUUUGCUUCUGCUUUUAUUGAACUUGUUGAAAGGUUGAUCUUUGACAAGCAGGUCUCUCACAGAAGUAUCAGUGAGUCCCUAAAUUCUUUUAAACUUCAACAAGCAAAUGAGAUCUGCCAGAAUUUAAAUUUGCUAAAUUGCAAAAUUACUGAAGAAAUAACAUCAAAGUAUUUUAAUAUUCUAAAACUAGAUUAUAACUUCAUACUUUUGAAUACGACGAUGUGCUCUGCAAUCCUUGACGAUUGCACCCAAUUCCUGAACGAAUAUUUAAGCUACGAGUGCAUCAUUAAAGCACAAGUAAUUUUCGCCAUUAUUGCACCCCCACAAUACAGGAAUUUCUUUUAAUUAUCGAUUAUAAUACUGACGAGUAUUAUAUUCUUAAUCCAACGACUCUAUCUGAAACUGAAAAUCACUUAUCCAUCUGCAAGAGUUUUAGAAACAAAAUAAAUGAUAUUAAAGAAACACCUGGCCGUGUAUUAAAUAUUGGUGUUUACAAUCAUGAUAUCCGCGGAUCUGGCCUUGUGAAUAAAGUCCUUAUCUGUACUUUCAUCAAGCAUUACGUAAACGACUUACCAAACAGAUUACAAACAGAUGAAGGACUCAGAAAGCCUGACUUAAUGAUUCGCCACAAAGGAAAAACAAUAAUAUGCGAUGCACAAGUAGUGGCAGAUAGCUAAAAUUGCGAUUUAGAAAAUGAAAACAAAAGAAAAAUAGACUACUAUAAGAAAGAUUCAAUAAUCAAGGAAACAAGAAAACUUAUCGGACGUGUCGAGGAAAAUAUAAUAGCAAUGGCAUUCACAUUCAAUUGGAGAGGAGCCAUAGCAAAAGAUUCAAUGAGAGAUUUAGAGAUACUCCUAGACAUAAAAUCGAAAGAAGUAAUCAAAAUGUCCAGAAAGAUACUAAGGGAUAACAGCAUCAUGGUGAUGAUGCAUAGAAACCGAACUGAGAGGAAAAGGUAGUAGAAAAAGAAAGAAUACAAAAAUGAUUGGGAAUUAUGACCGAUAUAGCUGAAAGCCAAAAGGAAGGUUAGAUCCUGAAACCGAAGUGUAGUUUCGAUCCCAAGAGGAACUGUGGGUUAAGUUUGAGCCGAUGGAAAAACCGAAUGUAUGUUAGAUGGCGAGGUACAGUCACCUCCUCGUGAUAUUUGGCGGGCAAUGCUCACUAAAAUAACUGUGAGUAGCUAAGACUGUAUAUUUAUCAUGAAAAAAAAAUAGCCAAAUGCCUCGUCAUCUAAUUAGUGACGUGCAUGAAUGGAUUAACGAGAUUCCUAUUGUCCCUAUCUACUAUCUAGCGAAACUAAUGCCAAGGGAACGGGCUUGGAAAAUAUAGCGGGGAAAGAAGACCCUGUUGAGCUUGACUAUAGUCCGACUUUGUAGGAGAACUUUAGAGGUGUAGCAUAUGUGGGAGACUUCGGUCGACAGUGAAAUACCACUACUCUGAUCGUUUUUCUACUUACUCAAUGAUGCAUUAUAAUUAACUUUUUUUUGUUUAUUUUAGUGAAAAAAUUGCGAUCUUCGGAUGCAAUUGAACUUUUUUGAGGACAGUGUCAGGUGGGGAGUUUGACUGGGGCGGUACAUCUGUCAAAUGGUGACGCAGAUGUCCCAAGGGAAGCUCAACUAGGACAGAAGCCUGGUGUUGACUUAAAUGGGAAAAGCUUCCUUGAUCGUGAUUUUCAGUACGAAUACUGACCGUGAAAGCGUGGCCUAUCGAUCCUUUUAAUUUUUACAGAGUUUGUAUCAAGAGGUGUCAGAAAAAAAACUAGUGGUUUUUACUAGUGGUGUCCAUUCUUGUCACUAUAAAUAUCCGCGGAUAUUUAUAGAGAGUUGUUAGCUAUCAGGUGCCUUACUGUUUCCAUCAGCAACCAUGAUAGCUAGGCUCAAUUGGAUAACUGGCAUGUGGCGGCCAAGCGUUCAUAGCGAGUCGCUUUUUGAUCCGUCGAUGUCGGCUCUUCCUAUCAUUGUGAAGCAGAAUUCGCAAAGCGCUGGACAGUUCAUCCACUAAUAGGGAACGUGAGCUGGGUUUAGACCGUCGUGAGACAGGUUAGUUUUACCCUACUAUAGACUAAUUUGUCAUGAUAAUAGUAAUUCUGCUCAGUACGAGAGGAACCGCAGAUUCGGAUCACUGGUAAAUGGGCUUGAUCGAAAGGUCAGUGGCACGAAGCUACAAUCCGAGAGAUUAGGACUUAACGCCUCUAAGUUUGAAUCUCGCCUAAAAAUCAUAAUAUUUUGUGCCAUCCUCGUAAUUGUUUAACGGCGGUAGUAAAUAUGACUCGCUUAAUAUGAGUUAAACUUCUUGAUAACUAAAAAUUAAUUUGCCUGCUUCUUACAGUUAAAACUGUGGUAU
rnacentral:rRNA from 1 species